UUCAUGUGUUGCAAGGAUUCUGCAAACUCCAGUAUUCACUACACAUAAUAUUACCCAUGCAGCAUUGUAUGUCACAUAUGCACUAUAGAAUAAUGACAGUGAGAACAGACACCUGGUAACAGAGUUAGACCCUGAACACACUAGAUGGGUUGAUUGGUGACACAGCUUAUCUCUGUCCUUAAUCUGGAAAAAACUGCACACCACUCUACAAACAAGCAUUCUUCUUCGUCAGCUUGCGUGGUCUUCCUGAUCAAGAUGGCUCGAAAAAUAACAGCUUGGGCAGGCUUCGACAAGAUUGUUCUCUUCUUGAUCGUUUUUCACACUGUUCUCUUUUCUGUCAAGUGGGAAGGGAUGUCCCUCGCCACAGAACUUGUCGUUCAAGGUACUUGCAAUAAUUAUGUUUUUUUUAUGGUAUUUUUUUAUGGUAUUUUGAACUGGUCCUGUGUU